CACAGGUACGCAAGCAAGGAGGUAAGAGCAUAUGAUUCAGAAGAGAGUUGGAAACUCCUAUUCCAUCUUCACCUUCAUUUCUUUCUCCUUCCAUUGGAACCAUUAAUCGACGUAUACAUCAUACACACACCAUAACCCUAAACCCUAACCAUGGUGUUUGUUGUAUCACCUAACCACAAAACCUUCGCCAUAGACCUAAACCCCAACACCACCACACUCCACCUCCUCAAACUCUCAAUCCAACAAACCCUAACCAUUCCAAUUUCCCACCAACGCCUCUUCCUCUCCCACAGUCGCCGAUUAACCGCCGACAAUGACGCCGCCGGUGAUUCCCUUCUUAUCUCCGAUCUCGGCGUCGGGCCCUACUCCACCCUGACCCUCCACGUCCCCUUCUUCGGCGGCACCAACCCUCCGGCGGUUCCCAAACCCCGCUUCGAUUUCCUCAACUCCAAGCCCCCUCCCAACUACGUCGCCGGUCUCGGCCGUGGCGCCACCGGCUUCACCACACGUUCCGAUAUCGGGCCCGCCCGCGCCGCGCCGGACCUCCCCGACCGCUCCGCCACCACCAUCGGCGGCACCGCCGGUGCCGGCAGGGGACGCGGGAAGCCCGGCGAGGAUGAGGACGACGACGAGGGCGAGGACAAGGGCUACGACGAGAAUCAGAAGUUCGACGAGUUCGAAGGGAACGACGUGGGAUUGUUCGCCUCGGCGGAGUACGACGAAGACGACAAGGAAGCCGAUGCCGUUUGGGAAGCCAUUGAUAAGAGAAUGGAUUCGCGGCGGAAGGAUCGGAGGGAGGCGAGGUUGAAGCAGGAGAUUGAGAAGUACCGUGCGUCGAACCCUAAAAUCACGGAACAGUUCGCUGAUUUGAAGAGGAAAUUGUACACGCUUUCUUCGGAUGAUUGGCAGAGUCUUGAGAAGUUUGAGAGUGGGGGUUAUUCUUCUAGGAAUAAGAAGAAGAGGUUUGAGAGUUUUGUGCCUGUGCCUGAUACUCUUCUUGAGAAGGCAAGGCAGGAACAAGAGCAUGUGACAGCUUUGGAUCCUAAGAGUAGGGCUGCUAAUGGGACUGAGACCCCUUGGGCACAAACCCCGGUUACUGAUUUAACUGCUGUUGGUGAGGGUAGAGGGACUGUGUUGUCUUUGAAGUUGGAUAGGUUGUCUGAUUCGGUGUCGGGGAUGACUAAUGUGGAUCCCAAAGGGUAUUUGACUGUGUUGAAUAGUAUGAAGAUAACUAGUGAUGCUGAGAUUUCGGAUUUCAAGAAGGCUAGGUUGUUGCUUAAGAGUGUCACGCAGACGAAUCCGAAGCACCCGCCGGGUUGGAUUGCUGCCGCGCGGUUGGAGGAGUUGGCGGGGAAGCUUCAGGUGGCGAGGCAGUUGAUACAGAGAGGGUGUGAGGAGUGUCCCAAGAAUGAGGAUGUGUGGCUGGAGGCUUGUAGGCUGGCAAAUCCGGAUGAGGCAAAGGCUGUGAUUGCGCGGGGUGUUAAGGCGAUUCCCAAUUCGGUGAAGCUGUGGAUGCAGGCUUCGAAGUUGGAGCAUGAUGAUGUGAACAGGAGUAGGGUUUUGAGGAAGGGGUUGGAGCACAUUCCUGAUUCGGUUAGGCUGUGGAAGGCUGUUGUGGAGCUUGCUAAUGAGGAGGAUGCUAGACUUUUGCUUCACAGGGCUGUGGAGUGUUGUCCCUUGCAUGUUGAACUCUGGCUUGCGCUUGCGAGGUUGGAGACUUAUGACAAUGCUAAGAAGGUUCUUAAUAGGGCGAGGGAGAGGCUGCCCAAGGAGCCUUCUAUAUGGAUAACGGCUGCCAAGUUGGAGGAAGCUAAUGGGAAUACUUCCAUGGUUGGAAAGAUCAUUGAAAGGGGUAUAAGGGCUUUGCAGAGGGAAGGUUUGGUGAUUGACAGGGAAGCUUGGAUGAAGGAAGCAGAGGCCGCAGAGCGUGCUGGGUCGGUUGUAACUUGCCAAGCAAUAAUCCAUAAUACUAUUGGGAUUGGAGUUGAAGAAGAAGAUAGGAAGAGGACAUGGGUUGCUGAUGCAGAGGAAUGUAAGAAACGAGGAUCCAUUGAGACUGCCAGAGCUAUUUAUGCUCAUGCCUUGACUGUCUUCUUAACUAAGAAGAGCAUAUGGCUCAAAGCAGCACAGCUGGAAAAGAGUCAUGGUACCAGGGAAUCACUUGAUGCAUUACUUCGUAAAGCAGUUACCUACAGACCGCAGGCCGAAGUUCUUUGGCUUAUGGGUGCCAAAGAGAAGUGGCUUGCUGGAGAUGUGCCUGCAGCUCGUGCUAUCCUCCAAGAAGCUUAUGCUGCCAUUCCCAAUUCUGAGGAAAUAUGGCUUGCUGCUUUCAAGCUGGAAUUUGAAAACCAUGAACCUGAGAGAGCUAGGAUGUUGUUGGCUAAAGCCAGAGAGAGAGGAGGUACAGAAAGAGUCUGGAUGAAAUCAGCCAUUGUUGAGAGAGAACUAGGGAACAUUGAAGAGGAGAGAAAAUUGUUGGAUGAGGGUCUGAGGCAAUUCCCUUCAUUCUUUAAAUUGUGGUUGAUGCUUGGCCAGCUUGAGGAACAGCUUGCAGAGAAUGCAAAGCGGCUUGAUCAGCCUGAGAAGCGGUUUGAUCACUUGAAGGAAGCUAAGAAGGUCUAUGAAUCUGGACUUAAAAACUGUCCUAAUUGUGUACCACUUUGGCUCUCUCUUGCUAAUCUCGAAGAGGAGAUGAAUGGACUGAGUAAGGCUCGUGCAGUUCUCACUAUGGCUCGGAAGAAGAAUCCUCAAAACCCUGAACUCUGGCUUGCUGCUGUUAGAGCGGAAUUGAAGCAUGGAUAUAAGAAAGAAGCUGAUAUUUUGAUGGCCAAGGCAUUGCAGGAGUGUCCUAAUAGUGGUAUUCUGUGGGCAGCAUCAAUUGAGAUGGUUCCUCGUCCCCAGCGGAAAACCAAGAGCAUGGAUGCCCUCAAGAAAUGUGACCAUGAUCCCCAUGUUAUUGCUGCUGUGGCCAAAUUAUUCUGGCAUGAUAGGAAGGUGGACAAAGCUAGGACUUGGCUGAAUAGAGCUGUGACACUAGCUCCUGACAUCGGGGAUUUCUGGGCAUUGUGCUACAAAUUUGAACUGCAGCAUGGAACUGAGGAGAACCAGAAGGAUGUGUUGAAGAGAUGUAUCGCUGCUGAACCAAAACAUGGAGAGAAAUGGCAAGCAAUCUCGAAGGCAGUUGAGAACUCUCAUCAACCAACCGAAUCCAUCUUGAAGAAAGUAGUGGUUGCGCACGGGAAGGAAGAGAAUGCAGCUGACAAUAAUAAACAUUGAUUUGCCAAGGUUGUAGCAUCGUUUAUGUUCUCGAGCUGUUGUGUCAUAACUGAAUAGUGAUAUGAGGAAACUAAGAGCAGCCAUUAAAUUCCUUGACGGAAGAAAACUGAGCCUCCCACAAUUUGCACAGAUUAUGCGCCACAUGAGCUCAGCUUAGUCUUCAACCAUUGGAGGGGGAGCUUAUGCACAAUAUUGUGGUUGCUGCUGACUUGUUAUAUGGAUAUCACAGCUUCACUUCUUGGAAAGGGUCUUCGUUUCUGGGAGUAAAGUACAAUAUCGAGAAAAAUUGGUUGAAAUAGCACUUCAUUUUGCCCCGCCCUAGCUUUUCCUUAGAGGCAAUCUGUUACUCUCUGCGCAGUGCCAUCAAUUGCUGAAGCCUAUAAACCCGCGGGUUCAUUCAAGUUCUUUUGUAUUGAAAAUGGAAAAGAUUCAAAUUUUGAAGAUGAGUUGUAUUAGAUUUAUAGCCACAUUAGGAUUGUUUACGGUGACCAAAGUUGAUGAGUAUACACUGUGCAUUGAACAACUAACUUGAGUAAUCUGAUUAGGAUUGAUGAAACAAUUUCUGCGGGUCGAUAGAGGCUAAGCAUGUGCUGGGGGAUGAAGCAGGAUAAGAACAACAUUAGGCAACCGAGUACGAUCCAUGCAGCCAGGCAAAAGGAUAAACACACAGUCUAUUAAUAUUUUGAGGAUAGAACAAAUACCAUUUGUCAACAAAAUUGUUGCCAUUUGUCCACUCCAAGACUCCUACAUGGAUCAUAAACUACGUUUUAUAAAA